rnacentral:rRNA from 1 species
AUUGAACGCUGGCGGCAGGCCUAACACAUGCAAGUCGAGCGAGCGGCGGACGGGUGAGUAAUGUCUGGGUAACUGCCUGAUGGAGGGGGGUAACUACUGGAAACGGGAGCUAAUAACGCAUACCAUCAGAUGUGCCGCGAUGGGAUUAGCGAGUAGGUGGGGUAACGGCUCACCUAGGCGACGAUCCCUAGCUGGUCUGCGAGGAUGACCAGCCACACUGGAACUGAGACACGGUCCAGACUCCUACGGGAGGCAGGAGUGGGGAAUAUUGCACAAUGGGCGCAAGCCUGAUGCAGCCAUGCCGCGUGUGUAAAGAAGGCCUUCGGGUUGUAAAGCACUUUCAGCGGGGAGGCGUUACCCGCAGAAGAAGCACCGGCUAACUCCGUGCCAGCAGCCGCGGUAAUUC